GGGGCCGGUAGCGCAGAGGUCGACGCAUACGGUUCGCAUCCGUAAGGACGCCGGUUCGAUUCCGGCUCGGCCCCG
rnacentral:tRNA from 1 species